GGACAGGUGGCAGAGUGGUCGAAUGCGGCGGUCUCGAAAACCGUUAUACCCGCGAGGGUAUCGGGGGUUCGAAUCCCUCCCUGUCCG
rnacentral:tRNA from 1 species